rnacentral:rRNA from 1 species
CCUACGGGUGGCAGCAGUAGGGAAUAUUGCUCAAUGGGCGAAACCCUGACGCAGCAACGCCGCGUGGGGGAGGAAGGUUUUCGGAUUGUAAACUCCUUUUGUUGGAGAAGAUAAUGACGGUAUCUAACGAAUAACCACCGGCUCACUCCGUGCCAGCAGCCGCGGUAAUACGGAGGGUGCAAGCGUUACUCGGAAUCACUGGGCGGAAAGAGCGCGUAGGCGGGAUAGCAAGGCAGAUGUGAAAACCUAUGGCUUAACCAUAGAACUGCAUUUGAAACUGGUAGUCUAGAGUAGGGGAGAGGGAGGUGGAAUUCUUGGUGUAGCGGUAAAAUCCGUAGAGAUCAAGAGGAACACUGAUUGCGAAGGCGACCUGCUGGAACAUAACUGACGCUGAGGCGCGAAAGCGUGGGGAGCAAACAGGAUUAGAUACCCGUGUAGUC